rnacentral:rRNA from 1 species
AAGACCUUGCGCUUUUGGAGCGGCCGAUGUCUGAUUAGCUUGUUGGUGAGGUAAAGGCUUACCAAGGCUUCGAUCAGUAGCUGGUCUGAGAGGACGGCCAGCCACACUGGGACUGAGACACGGCCCAGACUCCUACGGGAGGCAGCAGUGGGGAAUUUUGGACAAUGGGGGCAACCCUGAUCCAGCCAUGCCGCGUGAGUGAAGAAGGCCUUCGGGUUGUAAAGCUCUUUCAGCCGGAACGAAACGGUUACGGUUAAUACCCGUGACUACCGACGGUACCGGAAGAAGAAGCACCGGCUAACUACGUGCCAGCAGCCGCGGUAAUACGUAGGGUGCAAGCGUUAAUCGGAAUUACUGGGCGUAAAGCGUGCGCAGGUGGUUUUGUAAGUCAGAUGUGAAAUCCCCGGGCUUAACCUGGGAACU